GGUACGCGAGCUGGGUUCAGAACGUCGUGAGACAGUUCGGUCCCUAUCCGCUGUGGGCGUUGGAAAUUUGAGUGGAGCUGUCCCUAGUACGAGAGGACCGGGAUGGACAUAGCUCUGGUGCACCAGUUGUUCUGCCAAGAGCAUAGCUGGGUAGCUACCUAUGGACGGGAUAAGCGCUGAAAGCAUCUAAGUGCGAAGCCCCCCACAAGAAUAGAUUUCCUCCGAAAGGUAAGACCCGUGAGAGACUAUCACGUUGAUAGGUCGGAGGUGUAAGUGCAGUAAUGCAUUCAGCUGACCGAUACUAAUAGGUCGAACGCUUAACCAAU
rnacentral:rRNA from 1 species